CUGACAUGGCAAUGAUUAUAGGAAUACUUUUUAUCCCUGAGGAUCUUCAGAACAUGUUGAACAGCCUUAUAAAUGGCUAUGCAAAACUGGAUGGAGCAAAAUCACAGCUGAACCAUAGACUUGAUGAGCUUUCUAAAGCUACAGGCAUGGACAAUCUGGUCAGAAACACAGAGGAGCAUGCACAGGAGCUCAUGGACCUCGCAAUGCAUUUUCAAAUGUCUCUUCUAAAUGUCACCAACACUUCAGCUGGUCAUAAAGCGAUGGACCUGAUCAUUGCUUUUGAAGACAUUAUUAACGCUAUUAAAGAAGCCGAGGCAGAAGCUAAUAAAGCCAACAGUGUUGCAGACCAUGCCUUAGCAGAUGUGAGAGCACAAGACCUGACCACAAAGGCAGAAGACCUUAAAACCUCUGCAAACAGCCUUGACAAAAACGUUAAAGAAGCAGAAAAAAACCUAGAAGAUGCUACAGAAAAGUAUUCUAGCAUUAACGAGGACCUGGACAAGGCAAAGAGCAAAAAAAUGAUUAUGCAUAAAGAUAUGCAAACUAUCAAAAAUGAUCUGAACGCAAUCAACCGAGAUCAAACUGAUGCCCUUCUGAGACAAGCGAAGGAUGCUGUCCGAGCUGCCGACCGAACGGUCAGCGAUGAUACAGAACGUUUAAGGAACAUUAGUGAGGAGUUGGACAAGAUCAGCAUACCCAGUGGUGACUCAGACGUGGACAACAUCCUCAACACUGUCAACAAAACAUUGAAUCGACUGAACACAUUCUUCCCCAAUCUGACUGAUACUCUGGCUGAAGUGGAGAAUCAGAGCAGCAGGCUGCCCAGCAUGUCUGACAGCAUUAUGAGAAUCAAAGACAUGAUCAAGAGGACCAGAGAACUGGCCAAUACAAUUAGGGGACCCAUGUUAUUCUCUGGGGAAAGCCACAUAGAGCUACGUCCUUCUACAAACCUGGUUGAUCUACAAGCCUUCACUGCCAUGGACCUCCUGAUCCAUCGGCCCAAACAGGACGGAUGCAUUCGACGUCAGAGCAGAGAGGAAGAAAAUCUAUUCGUCCUUUACCUGGGAAACAAGAAUAUGAAGAGAGACUUUAUUGGAAUGGCGGUUAUGGACGGUGUCCUAUAUUGUGUGUACAAACUGGGUGGUAUAACCUACAAAAUAAAGACUCAACAAAUUACCCGGUCCAGCAUCAAAAGCUCCUUAAUGGACAGAGUGGACUUCCGUAGAAUUUACCAAGAUGCUGAAGUCAUGUAUACCCAACAUUUCAGCUCAAGUGAACCCAAGAGGAUGCCAAAAAUCACAAAUCAACCGAAUACAACUGUAAACCUGCUGGACCUGGGCAAUGAUGUGAUCGUUUUCUAUGUCGGAGGCUAUCCGGAUGACUUCACGCCUCCACCGGAGCUCCAGUAUCCCAAAUUUAAAGGGUGCAUCGAGUUUAACACAUUAAACGAACACAUCCUGAGCUUGUACAACUUCCAGAACGCUGUGAAUAUUAAAAAUACAGACCGGUGUCUAAGAGGCGAGUCCAGAGAGGUGACAAAAUAUUUUGAUGGUACAGGAUAUGGCAAGAUCGACGUGGUCAGCAGUCGAUCCAUCAGGUUCUAUGUUUUAAGUCGACAAGAGAACGCCUUGCUUCUCUUUAUGGGGAAUGAGGACUCUCACUUCACCAUUACUGUGGAAAGAGGGUAUGUUGUUUUGCGGAGCACACAGAAUGGUAAAACGCAGACUCAAAAGAGUAAUGAAAAGGUUUUUCCAGUGACCUAUUUCCAGAACAUUAAAAUCCUCCAGUCGCCUGAUCAAACCGAAAUGAGGGUUGUUGAGUUUGCAGUCAAUAUUAGGAUCAACUACAGGAUCUAUACACAAGCAUUUAUUGGUGGAAUCCCAGAUGCGAUCGCAAAGAGAUUUAAUAUGAACCACCCGGCACUGAGAGGAUGUCUCAAAGGCCUUGAGGUGGACAUCGCCAUCAAAUUUUCAGAGGCAAUUGGAAUUCAUCCUGGAUGUCCACUGGCUUUACUGGGUGUACAUGAGGUUACACUGGAGACAGGAAGCUCUCUGGCUCUUACUGCUAACAUUACAUUGCCAGAUAGGGCCACAAUGGUUUCGCUGGGUUUCAGAUCCACACAGAGCAGCGGUGUGUUACUGCACACCGGGGACACGAACAGUGGAUUUGAACUGUCUCUGGUUGAUGGAUAUGUCGAGAUAAAAGACAGAACAACCAAUUUGAAGUCGAAAAACAGAUACGAUGAGGGAAGAUGGCACUAUGUGACGGCUUUAAGAAACAGCACAGGAAUGGAGCUAAACGUUGACAAUUCAGACAGAGGAGACGUGCAGACGAUGUCCACAGCCUCUAUAGUGAAAGAAAACGAAGUCAUUUUAGGAAAAGAGUCAUUCAGGGGUUGCCUGAGGAAUCUUUACUUGAGAGGAUUGGAAAACAGAUACGUCCCAAUUGGCCUGAGCAAUUUCACUCAGAAGGGAGACGUCUCUUUGGGGGUGUGUAAACCUCAGCACCAGCCUCUGUCUAUCAUUGCGAGAAGCAACAGAGGAAGAGGGCAUGUCAAGUCCAUCAGAAAGUCUCAGCAAGAUUGUAGCGAGCCAGCCAGUCACACCCUGGCCUACCAUCUCAGCCCACACAGUCAGCUGCAGUAUACAAUAUCUCCAGAAGACCUUAAUUACAGGCCUCAUAUUUUCCUGGACAUGCGGACGAGGUCAGCUAACGGCCUGCUGCUCCGUAUCGCCAAUAAGCACGGUUUUGCUCGCGUGGUUGUGUUUAUGAGUGGCGGCAGAAUCAAUCUCUUUGUCGGCGAUGGAACACUGAUCUCCUAUCAGAAGAAGAUUAACGAUGGCACCUGGCACAAUAUCAGAUUUAGUGUUGAGCAGGACGUCACACACCUGGUGGUGGACGGUUUUCGUGUGCCGGAUGGACAGUUGCAAAAGGAUGAAGGGAUCUCGAUGGAGCUUCAGCCUCCUGUUUAUUUUGGAGCUGGAAAUAUUAAAUCAACCACUAACACUCAGGGCAAACAUUUCCCUCAGAAGAGUGUGAUAGGAUGCAUCCGCAACAUCAGGUUUAAUGACGUUCGUAUUGGAGAGCCGGCCGUCAAUCAUGGAGGAGGUCCCUGUUUCAAUGGGGGAUUCGAGGAAGGGGUGUACUUCGCUGGUGGUGGAUCAUACAUUGUGUUAGAGAAACACUUUAAAAUGGGUUCUGAGUUCGAGUUGACGUUUGAAGUUCGUCCCAGACACACAACUGGUUUACUCAUCCACUGCCGAAGUCACCACAAUCGCAGCCUGAGUGUUUUCCUGAAGAACGGCACAAUGGCGGUCCAAGCGAACGAUGGGGCAGGAGAGUACAGCACUUCUGUGACCAGUCCAUCACCGCUCUGUGCAGGAUUUUUCCAUCAUGUAACAGGUGACAUUUACAUCUGAUUCCAGAUGACCAGUUUCUAAGAGCCCUGCUGUACACUGACAAAAUGUAUGUGAAGGCAAGUUGGUGUAGAAUUUAAAUGAAACCCAGAAUAUUACUUUUUCAAUGAUGCUGUAAUGAUGAAUUAUGGUCAGUAUUUAUUUCUGCAUUAAAACAACAUUAUGUUCACAACAGAUUGACACUAGACAUUUGUAUAUUUAUUCCCAAACAGAAAAGAGUUAUAAAGCAUGUCUUCCUUCUACCUUGAGAUAUGGUGGGAUCAGUGGUGCAGUAGUGGAUGUGGUGCAGUUGUAGAGGAUAAAGGAAGCAGUGGAGCAUUGGUAAAGUAUAGAGGGAUCUGUAAAGCAGUGAUAGAAAGUGAAGUGAGGGAGCAGUGGAGCUGCACUAAAGCAUGGAGGGAGCAGUGGUAUAGAAUAGAGAGUAUGGUGUUGUGGUAGGUGAUGGAGGGAUCUGUGAAGCAGUGGUAUAGUGUGUGGUUAGGGAGUAGUGGAGCUGUGGUAGAGGAUGGAGUGAUAGAUGGAGCAGUGGUUGAGGAUGGAUGGAACAGUGUAUUAGUGGUAGAGGUUUAAGAGAGCAAUGGAGCACUGCUAGAGAAUAGUGUUAUGAGUGGAGCAGUGGUAGAGGAAGGAGGUAGAAGUGGACUAGUGUUUUGGAUGGAGGGAUGAGUGGAGCAGUUGUAGAGAAUGGAGGAAAUAGUGGAGCAAUGAUAGAGGGUGGAGGGAAUAGUGGUACAUUGGUAGAGAUAGAGGGGAGCAAUGGAGUAGUGGUUUCAGAUGAAAGGAUGAGUGGAUCAGUGGUAGAGGGAAUCAAGGGGCCCCCCAUAAGUCAUUAGG